rnacentral:rRNA from 1 species
UACGGAGGGUGCAAGCGUUAUCCGGAUUUACUGGGUUUAAAGGGUGUGUAGGCGGACUUUUAAGUCCGUGGUGAAAUCCCCGGGCUCAACCCGGGAACUGCGUCCGAUACUGGAAGGCUUGAAUCCGGGAGAGGGAUGCGGAAUUCCAGGUGUAGCGGUGAAAUGCGUAGAUAUCUGGAGGAACACCGGUGGCGAAGGCGGCAUCCUGGACCGGCAUUGACGCUGAGGCGCGAAAGCCAGGGGAGCAAACGGG